AUAGGAAAAGUAAAGGCAUCUUUACUUUUUUAAAAGACCUUCUUUGAAGGUAUGCUUAAGGAGGGGCUUGCGACACAUUAGUUAGUUGGCAGGGUAAAGGCCUACCAAGACUAUGAUGUGUAGCUGGACUGAGAGGUUGAACAGCCACAUUGGGACUGAGACACGGCCCAAACUCCUACGGGAGGCAGCAGUAGGGAAUUUUCGGCAAUGGAGGAAACUCUGACCGAGCAACGCCGCGUGAACGAUGAAGUACCUCGGUAUGUAAAGUUCUUUUAUUAAGGAAGAAAAAAGAGUGGAAAAACUCCCUUGACGGUACUUAAUGAAUAAGCCCCGGCUAAUUAUGUGCCAGCAGCCGCGGUAAUACAUAAGGGGCGAGCGUUAUCCGGAAUUAUUGGGCGUAAAGGGUGCGUAGGCGGUUUAAUAAGUCUAUAGUUUAAUUUCAGCGCUUAACGCUGUUGUGCUAUAGAAACUGUUUUACUAGAGUGAGUUAGAGGCAAGCGGAAUUCCAUGUGUAGCGGUAAAAUGCGUAAAUAUAUGGAGGAACACCAGAGGCGUAGGCGGCUUGCUGGGACUUUACUGACGCUGAGGCACGAAAGCGUGGGGAGCAAACAGGAUUAGAUACCCUGGUAGUCCACGCCGUAAACGAUGAGUACUAAGUGUCGGGUAAAACCGGUACUGAAGUUAACACAUUAAGUACUCCGCCUGAGUAGUACGUACGCAAGUAUGAAACUUAAAGGAAUUGACGGGACUCCGCACAAGCGGUGGAUCAUGUUGUUUAAUUCGAAGAUACACGAAAAACCUUACCAGGUCUUGACAUUUUCUUGCGAAGUUAUAGAAAUAUAAUGGAGGUUAUCAAGAAAACAGGUGGUGCAUGGUUGUCGUCAGCUCGUGUCGUGAGAUGUUAGGUUAAGUCCUAAAACGAGCGCAACCCUUGUCGUUAAUUGCCAGCAUGUAAUGAUGGGGACUUUAACGAGACUGCCAAUGAAAAAUUGGAGGAAGGUGGGGAUUACGUCAAAUCAUCAUGCCCCUUAUGAUCUGGGCUACAAACGUGAUACAAUGGUUGAUACAAAGAGUAGCUGAAACGCGAGUUCUUAGCCAAUCUCACAAAAUCAAUCUCAGUUCGGAUUGAAGUCUGCAACUCGACUUCAUGAAGUUGGAAUCGCUAGUAAUCGCGAAUCAGCAUGUCGCGGUGAAUACGUUCU
rnacentral:rRNA from 1 species